CAGAAACUUAAGGAAUUGACGGGGGCCCGCACAAGCGGUGGAGCAUGUGGUUUAAUUCGACGCAACGCGAAGAACCUUACCUGGGCUCGAACGGCUGAUCAACGACUGUGGAAACAUGGUUACUCCGCAAGGGGUUCAGUCGAGGUGCUGCAUGGCUGUCGUCAGCUCGUGUCGUGAGAUGUUGGGUUAAGUCCCGCAACGAGCGCAACCCUUGCCCUGUGUUGCCAUCAUUCAGUUGGGAACUCUCAGGGGACCGCCAGCGAUAAGUUGGAGGAAGGUGGGGAUGACGUCAAGUCAUCAUGGCCUUUAUGUCCAGGGCUACACACGUGCUACAAUGGCCGGUACAAUACGACGCUAACCCGCGAGGGGGAGCAAAUCGGAAAAAACCGGUCUCAGUUCGGAUUGCAGGCUGCAACUCGCCUGCAUGAAGCUGGAAUCGCUAGUAAUGGCGCAUCAGCAUGGCGCCGUGAAUACGUUCCCGGGCCUU
rnacentral:rRNA from 1 species